rnacentral:rRNA from 1 species
GAAAGAGCAGAGAAGUAAUAGAACAACUUUGAGC